AGCAAAUAAGGUGGUGUGGUGUUCUCCAGGUAAUGUUGAUUUUUAUGUUGCUUAUAUGGUCGCUUUAUUUAGUUUGGAAGGAAAAUGUAUUUACGUAGUAAUUUUCCAUAUUCUUUCAUGAGAAUUGCUUUUGCUUACCUAAUAAUGGCACUGGUGAAAAUCCUUACAGAACACACAAACCUAGGAACCUGUCUCCUGGCCGGUUUUCUAUGUUCAAGCUAUAUUGUUGGCACUGUUAAGUUUAUAUUUCCAUAUUUAAAAAUGAUUAUAUCACUGCCUAAUUUGUUCAUCAGUCUUCAGUGGUCCUGUUUCUAAAUUUUCAGGCUGGUGGGAGCAUGUGUACUUGUGGUUUACUUGUGUUUGAUCUAUGGGACUUGCGUCCCUGAUAAGCCCCUGGUCCCUUUAGUCUCACAAUGCUAUCUGAGAAAAUGCUGAUUCCCAUAAGUAAACAGCUGAACACUUUUAGCUAUGUCUGUGUAACAUCUGGAGCUGCUUUUAUUGGCUCAGCCAUCUAUGAUCUGGUGUACUGCUGUUGCAAAACCAUAAUUACCUUGGAUUUCUGACAUUUGAUGAGGAUUUAAGAGUUGCAAGCGAAGUAGUUCAACUAUAAAGUUAGCUUUCUACGAGGGUAGGGAUUCACAACUGCUUGUGAAUAUCAGAUUAUUCCACAUUCUGCAAAUGGGUCCAUAGCUCAGUGGUAGAGCAUUUGACUGCAGAUCAAGAGGUCACCGGUUCGAACCCGGUUGGGCCCUUUUUUUUAAUUUUUAAUUUUAUUCUUAAAUUUAAAUGCUCCGUUUUCCCUUGUGCAAAAAUUUAGUGUGGGUCGUAUUGAUGAUUGGCCAAUGAUUGGACAUGCACCGUGGAAUGGUUGCAAUCUGGCUGAUUAUGUUAAUGGCCUUCUUUCUGUUAGUACUUGUGAUGGCCUGAUUGCCAUUCCCCUUGCUCUUAAGGUCUCUUCACCUUUUUAUUUCGUUUCAUUUUGAUAGGAAGACAUUCUAAAAGAUUUGCAGCUAUAAAAUUCGUAUUUUUUUCCUUCAAAAUUACUUUUUAUUUUCUGUAGGGAAUAAUAAGCUGGGGUCAAGCUUUCAAAAAAGUGAUUUUCAGAACUCUAAAAUUCCUCCGGUUGAUUAUGAUUUGCACUUACUUGGCCUAUGUUUGUCCUUUGAUGUUAAUAUUACAUAGAAGUAAAAUAAUUAUUAGAAUGGAUCUCGUAGUGUCAUUUUCCAUCUCAAAAUGCCACGAGAAAUUUGAUUUCUUAUGCACAUUGUUGUUGUCAACCUGAGAAAAAUUAUCAUAAUGGAGUACUUUUAUAUUCGGAGCUUGAUUGUAAUGGAUAUUUAACAAAGAAAGAAGGAAACAAAUAAAGAAAACAACUUGUCUACACUCCCUUUCUUUGACAGUGAUUUGAUUUCAUUGUGUUAUGUAGGACGUUUUUCUUAUGGUCCUGACAAGCUGACUUAUGUUGUUGAUCAUGAAGCAAAUAAGGUGGUGUGGCGUUCUCCAGGUAAUGUUGAUUUUUAUGCUGCUUAUAUGGGCGCUUUAUUUAGUUUGGAAGGAAAAUGUAUUUACGUAGUAAUUUUCCAUAUUCUUUCAUGAGAAUUGCUUUUGCUUACCUAAUAAUGGCGCUGGUGAAAAUCCUUACAGAACACACAAACCUAGGAACCUGUCUCCUGGCCGGUUUUCUAUGUUCAAGCUAUAUUGUUGGUACUGUUAAGUUUAUAUUUCCAUAUUUAAAAAUGAUUAUAUCACUGCCUAAUUUGUUCAUCAGUCUUCAGUGGUCCUGUUUCUAAAUUUUCAGGCUGGUGGGAGCAUGUGUACUUGUGGUUUACUUGUGUUUGAUCUAUGGGACUUGCGUCCCUGAUAAGCCCCUGGUCCCUUUAGUCUCACAAUGCUAUCUGAGAAAAUGCUGAUUCCCAUAAGUAAACAGCUGAACACUUUUAGCUAUGUCUGUGUAACAUCUGGAGCUGCUUUUAUUGGCUCAGCCAUCUAUGAUCUGGUGUACUGCUGUUGCAAAACCAUAAUUAC
rnacentral:lncRNA from 1 species